CAAUAAAUUCGUUUUUUUAAAAAUGGAUCUGAGUUUUCCAAUUUUGGUAACUUGAAAUUUAUCUUAACGAUAUCUUUGGUAUGAUAUUGAAAAUGGUCAUAUUCUUACAUCUCGUGAGUUUCAUUAACAAUUGAUUACCUGUCGUUACGUCGUGUCAUUUGCCCAAUCCUUUUUGAUUGGGUCAUGUGAUACAAUUCUUCUU
rnacentral:misc_RNA from 1 species